GAUCCUGGCUCAGGACGAACGCUGGCGGCGUGCUUAACACAUGCAAGUCGAACGGGGCAUANAGAUAUGCCUAGUGGCGGACGGGUGAGUAACACGUGAGCAACCUAUCCUAUACAACGGGAUAACACAGAGAAAUUGUGCUAAUACGGUAUAAGACCACACUCCGGCAUCGGAGAGGGGUAAAAGCUGAGGCGGUAUAGGAGGGGCUCGCGGCCCAUUAGCUAGUUGGAGAGGUAACGGCUC
rnacentral:rRNA from 1 species